UGGGGAAUUUUGGACAAUGGGCGAAAGCCUGAUCCAGCAAUGCCGCGUGUGUGAAGAAGGCCUUCGGGUUGUAAAGCACUUUUGUCCGGAAAGAAAUCCUUGGCUCUAAUACAGUCGGGGGAUGACGGUACCGGAAGAAUAAGCACCGGCUAACUACGUGCCAGCAGCCGCGGUAAUACGUAGGGUGCAAGCGUUAAUCGGAAUUACUGGGCGUAAAGCGUGCGCAGGCGGUUUGCUAAGACCGAUGUGAAAUCCCCGGGCUCAACCUGGGAACUGCAUUGGUGACUGGCAGGCUAGAGUAUGGCAGAGGGGGGUAGAAUUCCACGUGUAGCAGUGAAAUGCGUAGAGAUGUGGAGGAAUACCGAUGGCGAAGGCAGCCCCCUGGGCCAAUACUGACGCUCAUGCACGAAAGCGUGGGGAGCAAACAGGAUUAGAUACCCUGGUAGUCCACGCCCUAAACGAUGUCAACUAGUUGUUGGGGAUUCAUUUCCUUAGUAACGUAGCUAACGCGUGAAGUUGACCGCCUGGGGAGUACGGUCGCAAGAUUAAAACUUAAAUGAAUUGACGGGGUCAUGCUG
rnacentral:rRNA from 1 species